AAUAGAUACCCUGGUAGUCCACGCCGUAAACGAUGAGUGCUAAGUGUUAGAGGGUUUCCGCCCUUUAGUGCUGCAGCUAACGCAUUAAGCACUCCGCCUGGGGAGUACGGUCGCAAGACUGAAACUCAAAGGAAUUGACGGGGGGCCCGCACAAGCGGUGGAGCAUGUGGUUUAAUUCGAAGCAACGCGAAGAACCUUACCAGGUCUUGGCAUCCCACUGACCGGUAUAGAGAUAUACCUUUCCCUUCGGGGACAGUGGUGACAGGUGGUGCAUGGUUGUCGUCAGCUCGUGUCGUGAGAUGUUGGGUUAAGUCCCGCAACGAGCGCAACCCUUGAUCUUAGUUGCCAGCAUUUAGUUGGGCACUCUAAGGUGACUGCCGGUGACAAACCGGAGGAAGGUGGGGAUGACGUCAAAUCAUCAUGCCCCUUAUGACCUGGGCUACACACGUGCUACAAUGGAUGGUACAAAGGGCUGCAAGACUGCGAAGUCAAGCCAAUCCCAUAAAACCAUUCUCAGUUCGGAUUGCAGG
rnacentral:rRNA from 1 species